rnacentral:pre_miRNA from 1 species
UUGGUUUUAAUUAUUGUAGGUCUACACUUUGAAAAUUGAACUUACACAAAGUAGUGAGACAUACACUAAUUUCAUCAAA